rnacentral:rRNA from 1 species
GACGGGACCGCACAAGCGGUGGAUGAUGUGGUUUAAUUCGAUGCAACGCGAAAAACCUUACCCACCUUUGACAUGUACGGAAGUUGCCAGAGAUGGCUUCGUGCUCGAAAGAGAGCCGUAACACAGGUGCUGCAUGGCUGUCGUCAGCUCGUGUCGUGAGAUGUUGGGUUAAGUCCCGCAACGAGCGCAACCCUUGUCAUUAGUUGCUACGAAAGGGCACUCUAAUGAGACUGCCGGUGACAAACCGGAGGAAGGUGGGGAUGACGUCAAGUCCUCAUGGCCCUUAUAGGUGGGGCUACACACGUCAUACAAUGGCUGGUACAAAGGGUUGCCAACCCGCGAGGGGGAGCCAAUCCCAUAAAGCCAGUCGUAGUCCGGAUCGCAGUCUGCAACUCGACUGCGUGAAGUCGGAAUCGCUAGUAAUCGUGGAUCAGCAUGUCACGGUGAAUACGUUCCCGGGUCUU